rnacentral:rRNA from 1 species
GACGAACGCUGGCGGCGUGCUUAACACAUGCAAGUCGAACGGAAAGGCCCGGCUUUUGUGGGGUGCUCGAGUGGCGAACGGGGGAGUAACACGUGAGUAACCUGCCCUUGACUGUGGGAUAACUUCAGGAAACUGGGGCUAAUACCGGAUAGGAGCUCCUGCUGCAUGGGGGGGGUUGGAAAGUUUCGGCGGUGGGGGAUGGACUCGCGGCUUAUCAGCUUGUUGGUGGGGUAGGGGCUUUCCAAGGCUUUGACGGGUAGCCGGCCUGAGAGGGUGACCGGCCACAUUGGGACUGCGGUACGGCCCAGACUCCUACGGGCGGCAGCAGUGGGGAAUAUUGCACAAUGGGCGGAAGCCUGAUGCAGCAACGCCGCGUGCGGGAUGACGGCUUUCGGGUUGUAAACCGCUUUCGCCUGUGACGAAGCGUGAGUGACGGUAAUGGGUAAAGAAGCACCGGCUAACUACGUG